rnacentral:rRNA from 1 species
AGUACCGUGAGGGAAAGGCGAAAAGAACCCCGGCGAGGGGAGUGAAAAAGAACCUGAAACCGUGUACGUACAAGCAGUGGGAGCCCCACCACUAAGCCAGUGGUGAACUCCACAUCCGCAUCCUUUGCUGAGGAUACGGUUAACGGAGCGAAAGCGACGUUCAACCGCAAAACAAGCAGAGGGGGCUUAGUGGUGGGGUGACUGCGUACCUUUUGUAUAAUGGGUCAGCGACUUAUAUUCUGUAGCAAGGUUAACCGUAUAGGGGAGCCGGAGGGAAACCG